rnacentral:lncRNA from 1 species
CAUCCUUGUCUGCUUAGGAAUUUGUCUGUCUCCUUUCACUAUCAUUUUGUGUUAUAUUUACUCAGUAUUUUUCACAUAGUUGUCUUUCUUUAUUUAAUUUUUCAGAUUUUGUCCUUUUUUGUAUUUUGGAAGAUUUAUAAUUCUUCUCUAUUAGUUACUCUUCUCCUAACUCUUGAGAAGGAAUCCUCCAUGGUGUUUCUAAAUGUCUUCUAUCAGCUAUAGUUCUAAACUAUAAGUUUGGGACAUUUGUAUGCAGACAGCCUUGAAAGAUUGAGAUUGUGGCUUCCUCCAGGGCAGAAUGCAUGUUUGUUUCCAGACUAGGAUAUUAAAGAUAAUGUCUUCAUCCAUGUGAAAAUUUGGGCAAGUUUUCUACCAGCCCACAUUAAAAGAUGGAAAUUUUCUAAACUCAAGGGUUUUCAGCUGUUACAUGAACCAACUAUAUAUAUGUGCAGCAUCCACUUGUGUACUGCUCAACAUUACCCCCUUGGGACCUGGGAAAGGGAAGUGACAGGAACAAGAAGCUCACCUUGCCUGCUGUGCCAUAAUAAUGCCUGUCUCUCACUCAGGAGUCUCGUGCCAGUGUGUAUGAAACUGGAAGCCUAUUGUCUCAGCUUGCAAAGCUUUAUUUAUGAAGACCAACAAAUGCUCCUUCCAUCAGACUAUAAAGAUAAUUACUUCAAAUCGCCAAAGAAUCAUCUGUCAAUUUCAAGAGGAUGGUAGAGAGCGGUCUACAGCCUGAGACCCAUCACCAGCUAUUGCAACAGAGGCUACUCUUUGGUUUUCAAGAAAGAGUGUGGCUGCGCGUGGUGGCUCAUGCCUGUCAUCCCAACACUUUGGGACACCGAGGCGGGAGGAUCACGAGGUCAGGAGUUCAAGACCAGCAUGGACAACCUGGUGAAACCUCAUCUCUACUAAAAAUACAAAAAUUAGCUGGGCAUGGUGGUGCGUGCCUGUAAUCCCAGCUACUCAGGAGGCUGAGGCAGGAGAAUUGUUUGAACCGGGACCCAAGAGGUGAGGUUGCAGUGAACCAAGGUCAUGCCACAGCACUCCAGCCUGGGCUGCAGAGCAAGACUCCAUCACAAAAAAAAAAAAAGUGUAGUUUAAUUUUAUGUAUAAUUUGGCUCAAAGAAAAAUAAAAGCAUCUCCCUCUAGCACCACCAGAUUUUCUUCUCUCUGUACCUUAUGAUGCAAAUUUUGCUAUUUGAUUUUCACCUGAGUUGUUUCCUUUAAUGUGCAAAUUUAAGGCUAUUUAGCUGACAACUGCCUAGGAUUGUGAAAGAGGUUAUCAAGAAUCUGAAAGUCUAAGAUAGAAAAAAAAAAAAUAGGGUGGGCGUUUCUUUAUAAACCUAUAAAAUGUACUUCUAUGGUCAUGCCUAAUAUACAUUGACAUGUAUUUAUAUGUUCUGUACAAAAUGUUUCACUGCUAAAAAUAUAUAAAAGAGCUCUAAUUAAUUGGCUUAAAGAAAAUAAAAGCACUUAAAUCAGCUACUAAAAAAGAAACGACUAGUCAAAUGCUUUUUCAAGUUUAUGUAACUUAAGUAAAAUCUUUAAUAAAUAAGCUAGCUUUAAAAUUAUUGGUAAAGUAAUAUUAAAAGUGUCUUAAGGAAUAACCAACAUAUAUUUGUGUUGCAUUUAUUAAUCAAGUAAAUUUUAUACUCAUCUCUGUCAAAUAUAUUUGUGUCAAAAUUUGGCAUAGGAGACACAAAACUAUAAACCCAGCCCAAAUCAGAAUGAUCUUUGUGUAAUUUUUAAUAAAUUAGACAUUUAUAUGGGUUUAAUGAAAAUAGCUGCAUCUUGAAUUUAGUAAGAUUACCUUAACUUCUAAUCCUGUGGUUUUAGGCAGUUUGGUUCACAGCCAAUAAAGAGGUUUAUUUUGGGAAAGGACUCUUAUUGUCUUUGUUUCAAAGCUAAACUUUAAGUUCCUCUCAAAGUUACUUUGGCCUAUGCCCAGGAAUGAACAAGGACAGUUUGGAUGUUAAGAGCAAGACGGAGUCAGUUAGGUCCAAUCUUUUUUCACCGCCUCAAUUAUAAUUUUCCAAUGGUAGUUUCAUAACUUUAAAUCAUGACUAUCACAGUUUUCAUAAAUAAUCUAGAUAAACAAUUACAAUAAAAUAAGUAAAUGUAAUGGAAUAAAUACUUGUAGUCAAACUGGUCUUAAUUUAGAAUAUAUGGUUAUAUUAAAUUAAAUGAUAGAUAUUUCAUUAUUUGAGUAUUUUCCAAUAAAUAUAUACUGUAGGAAAACAUUCUUGCUAAAAGAAAGUGUCCUUUUUUAAAAAAAGGUGAACAAGUUUUGAUUAAUUCAAAGUUUAUUUAAAGAUUAUGUAUAAAACAAGGUAAAAGGAACCAGGAGUAAAAAAAAUAUGUAAAGAAAGUUGUAAAAAUUAAGAGGUUUUUGUUUUUUGAGGUAAAAAAGCUUAAAGAUAAAUAAUUUUAUUUAAGAAAUAAUCUUCUGUGGUAAAUUUAGUCCUAAAAUAAAAUAACUGGUUGUUUAAAAAGGAGGGAUGUUCAGGAAAACCAAAAAGUCUGAACAUGUGAUGAACAGUAAGUGUAAGUCACAAUAAGAAGAUUUAUAUAUAUUUUUUAAAUUAUGUAAUUAAAUUGUCAUAUUAUUAUUAAGUUUUGGUUUGCUUAACAAAAGUGAGAUACAAUGUUUUUUUUAAUUAAGGCUAUUACAUCCAUGUAUCUUCCUGUAUGUGCUUUUAAAGUCCUUAUAAUACUGAGUUACGGGCUUUAACUCCUAAGUCUAAAAAGGACACCAAGUCCUGCUAAAUCUUAAACACUGACAGCAAUUAAAGCCUCAUCUUCAGGCCCUGUAGAAGAUGCCAAUCAAAAUAAACUGCAUUCCUGAGACAUAGGGCAAAAGAAUUAAAGCUAUUAAGUUCCUCAAGGCCCAGUGACUAUCAUGGAAGUGGUGGACAUGUAAGAUUACAAGGGCCGAUUUUGAAAAAUAAAAUAUAUUCAGUUUCUCUAUAAAUUAAUCAUUAGUGUCAAAGGCACACUGAUGCAAAACCAGUAUAUGGCCCCCUGUGUCAGAUUAACAAGAUUUUCUUGAAGCAUUAACCAACUCCUUAAUAAAGGUUAUAAAAGGCCUAUGGAAGCUAUAUUUUAUAAUCAAGAUUAAAUUUUAUAGAUUGUUUACAAAAUUUUGGAAAAGAAAAGUAAUUGGCUUCUUGCUAUUUUUAUUAGGGCUUGUUUAGAAAAGUAAGUCUCCUAUCUCAAAGAAUGAAGGUCUUCAUCUUUUUUUUUUUUUUUUUUUAAUCCUCGAGUUAUCACUUUGGUUAAAUAAAUGACUUUACAAUGACCUGUAAUCCUCUUUUGUAAUACCAAGUGUUUUAAACCUUUUAUAUUUGAUGAACUUCCCAAAACUAAAUUAUAAAUUAUGUCUUUUUCUAAUCUAAUUAAACCUUUAAGACAUUAGAUUUCCUAAAGUCCAAAAAUCACAUAUGUUGGCUUAUUUGGUAUAAAAAUUUUACAGAAAGCAUUUGUCAAACAUGAAAUGUUGUUUGGUUUUCUUUGGGUUGUAUUUGUAGGAAUAUGUUAUUGGUAUGUGUUCCAAAAUUAUGAGAAACUCCUAUAAUUCUGAUAUAACAGUGUACAUUAUCAGUAAUCAUAAUUGUUAUGUUAAAAUUAUUGUGUGCCACAGAGUUAACAAAUUUCCUUGUCAAUUGUGUCUUUGAACUAUGGCUGCCUUAAAACUUUUUUUUCAUUCAUGGACAAUUGUUGUCUUAUUUGGGCCUCUUUAGAAGGUGGUUUUAUAAUCAGCUAUAAAACUCCAACAGGUGCUCUGAAAUGCAGGUUUCUGAUAACUUUGGGGAUAGUGACAUCAGAAUAGAGGAAAAGCUUUCAGGACUCAUGAAGAGCUAAAAUGUUCAUGAGUCUCAAGCAGAACAGGAAUUAACUUCAUGGAUGGAACCAAUCUUUUUGACUUUUGCUUAAAAUGUUUGCUGAUCCUUUUUUUUAUUUUUCAGAACUUUUCUUUUGAGCUAUUGACAGCUUUUAACAAUUUAGUAUACUUCUUAUGAAUAAAAUUUGGAGCAUAUUUGUUUCUUUCUACCUUUGGAAUUUGGAAACUAUUUGUGACUAUUGUUAACUUAUGGCAAUACAGUUAUUUGCAUAAGUGUAAUUAGAAUAUAUUUUCAUUUGUAACAGGACACAAUUGGAGAAAUUAUUUUACCAAGGCUUUGACUGGAAUGAUGUACUUUCCUUUAAAGAAUAAACUUGACUUAUGGAGCCAAUAAAGCCCUUUUGAAAAACUGGCCUCAUGUUUUAUGUACACAGUCCAUGUGCAGGGGUUCUGACCUGUGUCACUGAAAACUAAGCUGUGCUUUCUUGAAACCCUGCAAACUGAAGCCAGACAACUUAAACUUAAAAGAAAAUAAAAGCAACCCAUUUACAUACAUAAACCACUUUCAUACCUGCCUACUAAUGUAUGGACUUCAGAGUAAUGUGGCCUAUAUCAAUUUUUCCAGGAUUGUUCGUUUGUUGUUGUUUUUUCUCCCUUUCUCCCCUCUAUUUUCUCUUCACAGGACAUGAGACUUCACAAUCUGCUAAAAAUGAGCUUUUGGGACCUACUCAUCUAGAAAUAAACCAUCCUAGCCAUGAGAGAUCAGAUGAAACCUGAAGCCAGAGAUUUAUUUUUUUGUAAAAUGCUUUCUACAAAAGAUUUGAAAAAAGAAAAGGGGGGAAAUGUGAAAAGAAAAUAUCUUGGGCCCCUUCAAGCUGGAAACCACUCAGGGCAAAUCUCCCUUGCAUUCUAUUCAAUGUAAUCCCUCUGCUCACAGAGAUAGAUGCAUAUUCUGAUUGGGCUUGCUUUAAGUUGUUUCUGUUUUUCUGGACAGAAAUAAUGGACUCCUUACAUAUAUUGAUUGAUAUUUCAUGUCUGCCUAAAAUAUACAAAACCAAACUGUGCCCCGACUACCUUGGGCACAUGUCAUCAGGAUUUCCUGAGGCUGUCAUGGGUGUGUCCUCAACUUUGUCAAAAUAAACUUUUAAAUUAACUGAGAU